rnacentral:rRNA from 1 species
CGAACGCUGGCGGCGUGGCUAAGGCAUGCAAGUCGAACGGACGUAUUUCCUUCGGGAGGUGCGUUAGUGGCGAACUGGUGAGGAAUGCAUGGAUAACGUGCCCUGGACUCGGGAAUAGCGGCGGGCUUCGGCCCUUUAGCGAAAGUGCCGGUAAUACUCGAUGACCCCGCGAAAUCGCAUGAUUUUGCGGGCAAAGCUCCGGCGGUCCAGGAGCGGUUCAUGUCCUAUCAGCUUGUUGGUGGGGUAACGGCCUACCAAGGCAUCGACGGGUAGCGGGCGUGAGAGCGCGACCCGCCACAUCGGGACUGAGACACUGCCCGGACACCUACGGGUGGCUGCAGCAACGAAUAUUCCGCAAUGGACGAAAGUCUGACGGAGCGACGCCGCGUGCAGGAAGAAGUCCCUCGGGAUGUAAACUGCUGUCAGGGGUGAGGAACACAAUGACCAGCCCCAGAGGAAGCGCUGGCUAACUCCGUGCCAGCAGCCGCGGUAAU